rnacentral:ncRNA from 1 species
AAAUAAGUUUCGGGGAGCUAUUUCGGCUGAGAGGCGUCCGCGAUCGCGGCCGCGACCCAUAACACUUGAUUCGGGUAAUUCCGACGUAAGGAGAGAAACGAUGAACGACC